GUAACAGCAGCCAUCUUGCACAUUCCAAAGUCAGGUGCAUAACUUCACAUGGUGGUCAACAGUAUAGCAUAGUUCCACCAAGUUUGGUCCAUGUAAUUCUGAGAAAAAGCUUGGACAAAAAGUGUGGAAGAAUAAAAAUAAAAAUAAUAAGAAAAAAAGAAACGAACAAUAACAAGAUGUCACCCCAACUCCGUUGAGGGUGCCAUAAAAAGAAUCGAACAAUAACAAUAUGUCACCCGACCUCCGUCAGGGUGACAUAAAAAUUAAAAAAAAAAAAAGAAUAACAAUAUGUCAC
rnacentral:lncRNA from 1 species